rnacentral:rRNA from 1 species
AGGAGAGUUUGAUCAUGGCUCAGAUUGAACGCUGGCGGCAGGCCUAACACAUGCAAGUCGAGCGGAAACGAGUUGUCUGAACCUUCGGGGAACGAUAACGGCGUCGAGCGGCGGACGGGUGAGUAAUGCCUGGGAAAUUGCCCUGAUGUGGGGGAUAACCAUUGGAAACGAUGGCUAAUACCGCAUAAUAGCUUCGGCUCAAAGAGGGGGACCUUCGGGCCUCUCGCGUCAGGAUAUGCCCAGGUGGGAUUAGCUAGUUGGUGAGGUAAUGGCUCACCAAGGCGACGAUCCCUAGCUGGUCUGAGAGGAUGAUCAGCCACACUGGAACUGAGACACGGUCCAGACUCCUACGGGAGGCAGCAGUGGGGAAUAUUGCACAAUGGGCGCAAGCCUGAUGCAGCCAUGCCGCGUGUAUGAAGAAGGCCUUCGGGUUGUAAAGUACUUUCAGCAGUGAGGAAGGUGGUAGUGUUAAUAGCACUAUCAUUUGACGUUAGCUGCAGAAGAAGCACCGGCUAACUCCGUGCCAGCAGCCGCGGUAAUACGGAGGGUGCGAGCGUUAAUCGGAAUUACUGGGCGUAAAGCGCAUGCAGGUGGUUUGUUAAGUCAGAUGUGAAAGCCCGGGGCUCAACCUCGGAAUUGCAUUUGAAACU